GGGAGUAGGCCUCCCGCAACCGGCUUGCAGGAGCAGGUUGCAAACCACCGUAAGCGGCUUUGGCUAAGAGUCAUGGUCGUGAGAGUUACGGAAAAGGUGCUAUUAGAAGCAUCAGGU
rfam:Planctomycetes bacterium RBG_13_50_24 RBG_13_scaffold_9934, whole genome shotgun sequence.